GGAAAAGUGUUGCUAGAAGAAACGGACAAGCAUGGAAUAGAUAAAACCCAGUAACCUUUGGUUUUGUUUGUGGAGAAAAUAUAUGUGCCUAUGUGUGUCGUGCUUUGGUGUAAUAUGAGGAUGUGUUUGAGGAAUAUUGCGUGACUGCAGAAUAUCGCCGUGAUGAUAUAUACCGCAUUAGCAAGCAGUUCCGGUUUUGGGGAUUGUGUUUUGCCGGCAAAAAGCAGCCAGGGUUGGCUCGAAAAGCAUUUGCCAUAAAUGAGGCACCAGCUUAUCUUGCCAUAAAUGAUGUGUUUCUUAAAAUCGGUGUGAUUUUGAGACCUUUGAUCGAUACUAAAUGCGACUUAUGCUGCGUGAUCUACAUAUUGAGAGCUCGACGCAGCGAAUUCCUGAAAAUGGAAAACGAAUUACUUACAUCGAACAAGACUGAGAAGCCUUUUAUUCAACAAAAGUAAGCGCUAAAUUAAGAAAAGUAACACCAUUCAUUUCAGGCACACCGAGGCACCCGGUGCAGAUAAGUCAGUAUCCGCGGCCUUGUUUUUCUCGCUUGCCUUUUCAAUUUUCACGUCCCACCAAGACUUUGGGGUGACGUUGAUGAUCUUGGUGUUAUGUGUGGUAUUAGGGUUUUAUUUCUAAAACUAACGGAGAUAUCAGAGCAGCAGUCAAGCACCUCCGAAUCGAUGGCUGCCUGCCAGCACAUGGUAGUAUUUGGUUAGCUGUUGCGUUAUGCCACAUUACGCGAACAGCUCCGCGAACCAUAAUUCGGGAUUUUUCCGCCAGAAAGGACCUAUCUUUAUCGCCACCCGAUUUACGGAGUAGGCGGUUGGUGGCUCUUCGUUUUUCUGGGCGGCUGCAUCUCCUGUCGUGUCCUGCUUCAGCUGCACGCGUUCCAGCUUCCCGUUCCUCUGUAGGCGGAUCAGCUCGUCCUGCGGGUUUUCCAUAGCUAUUAUUUGCGAGCGUA